GCUGUGAUGGUUCAGUGGUAGAACUCUCACUUUCCAUGCAGGAGACCCAGGUUCAAUUCCUGACCAAUGCA
rnacentral:tRNA from 1 species